GGGUGUGACCAUACCAGCACUAAUGCACCGGAUCCAAUCAGAACUCCGCAGUUAAGCGUGCUUGGGCGGGGGUAGUCCUAGGAUGGGGGACCUCCUGGGAAACCCUCCGGUUCCCCCCC
rnacentral:rRNA from 1 species